AUUGAACGCUGGCGGCGUGCUUAACACAUGCAAGUCGAUCGGUAACAGGUGUAGCAAUACAUGCUGACGAGAGGCGGACGGGUGAGGAACGCUUGGGAAUCUGCCUAUCAGCGGGGGACAACCCGGGGAAACCCGGGCUAAUACCGCAUACGCUCUACGGAGGAAAGCCGGGGACCGCAAGGCCUGGCACUGAUAGAUGAGCCCAAGUCGGAUUAGCUAGUUGGCGGGUAACGGCCCACCAAGGCGACGAUCCGUAGCUGGUCUGAGAGGACGAUCAGCCACACCGGAACUGAGACACGGUCCGG
rnacentral:rRNA from 1 species